AGGAUUAGAUACCCGGGUAGUCCCAGCUGUAAACGAUGCAGACUAGGUGUUUGGACGGCCACGUGCCGUUCUAGUGCCGCAGGGAAGCUGUUAAGUCUGCCGCCUGGGGAGUACGAUCGCAAGAUUGAAACUUAAAGGAAUUGGCGGGGGAGCACCACAAGGGGUGAAGCUUGCGGUUUAAUUGGAGUCAACGCCGGAAAUCUCACCGGGAGCGACAGCAGUAUGAAAGCCAGAUUGAAGGUCUUGCUAGACGAGCUGAGAGGAGGUGCAUGGCCGUCGCCAGUUCGUGCCGUGAGGUGUCCUGUUAAGUCAGGCAACGAUCGAGACCCGCGUCCUCUGUUGCAACCAGCUUUGUGCUGGGCACACUGAGGAGACCGCCACUGAUAAAGUGGAGGAAGGAGCGGGCCACGGCAGGUCAGUAUGCCCCGAAUCUCCCGGGCCACACGCGAGCUGCAAUGGCAAGUACAAUGGGUUCCGACCUCGAAAGGGGGAGGCAAUCUCGAAAGCUUGCCGUAGUUGGAAUUGAGGGUUGAAACCCACCCUCAUGAACAUGGAAUCCCUAGUAAUCGCGUGUCACUAGCGCGCGGUGAAUACGUCCCUGCUCCUUGCACACACCGCCCGUCGUUCCAUCCGAGUGACUCUUGGGUGAGGUACCGUCUAAUUGGCGGCAUCGAAUCUAAGUUUCAUAAGGAGGGAAAAGUCGUAACAAG
rnacentral:rRNA from 1 species